UACGUAGGGUGCGAGCGUUGUCCGGAAUUAUUGGGCGUAAAGAGCUUGUAGGCGGUUUGUCGCGUCUGCUGUGAAAAUCCGGGGCUCAACCCCGGACUUGCAGUGGGUACGGGCAGACUAGAGUGUGGUAUGGGAGACUGGAAUUCCUGGUGUAGCGGUGAAAUGCGCAGAUAUCAGGAGGAACACCGAUGGCGAAGGCAGGUCUCUGGGCCACUACUGACGCUGAGAAGCGAAAGCGUGGGGAGCGAACAGG
rnacentral:rRNA from 1 species